rnacentral:rRNA from 1 species
AGUGAACGCUGGCGGCAGGCCUAACACAUGCAAGUCGAACGGCAGCACAGCAGUAGCAAUACUGUGGGUGGCGAGUGGCGGACGGGUGAGGAAUACAUCGGAAUCUGCCUUAUCGUGGGGGAUAACGUAGGGAAACUUACGCUAAUACCGCAUACGACCUACGGGUGAAAGCGGAGGACCUUCGGGCAUCGCGCGAUAAGAUGAGCGGAUGUCGGAUUAGCUAGUUGGCGGGGUAAAGGCCCACCAAGGCGACGAUCCGUAGCUGGUCUGAGAGGAUGAUCAGCCACACUGGAACUGAGACACGGUCCAGACUCCUACGGGAGGCAGCAGUGGGGAAUAUUGGACAAUGGGCGCAAGCCUGAUCCAGCCAUGCCGCGUGGGUGAAGAAGGCCUUCGGGUUGUAAAGCCCUUUUGUCCGGAAAGAAAAGCACUGGGUUAAUACCCUGGUGUUCUGACGGUACCGGAAGAAUAAGCACCGGCUAACUUCGUGCCAGCAGCCGCAGUAA